rnacentral:rRNA from 1 species
AGUCUGAACGACUCUCGGCAACGGAUAUCUCGGCUCUCGCAUCGAUGAAGAACGUAGCGAAAUGCGAUACUUGGUGUGAAUUGCAGAAUCCNGNGAACC